rnacentral:rRNA from 1 species
UGCGUAGGCGGUUCUUUGUGUCCGCUGUGAAAGCCCCGGGCUUAACCUGGGAAUGGCAGUGGAAACUAGAGAACUCGAAUCUGGCAGAGGGGGGUGGAAUGCCACGUGUAGCAGUGAAAUGCGUAGAUAUGUGGCGGAACACCGAUGGCGAAGGCAGCCCCCUGGGCUGAGAUUGACGCUCAGGCACGAAAGCGUGGGGAGCAAACAGGAUUAGAUACCCUGGUAGUCCACGCCCUAAACGAUGUCAACUAGGUGUUGGGGAAGCAAUUUCCUAGUACCGCAGCUAACGCGUGAAGUUGACCGCCUGGGGAGUACGGUCGCAAGAUUAAA